GUCCAGCUGGCGGAUAUCUGAGACGAGUGAAAGGAGAAAAAAUGAAGGCAAAGAUCCCUUUCCCCCAAAUACACACAGACACCAAAUGUGGCCUGAGACGUCCUGCCACACCAUGUGUCCUUGUGUUUGUGUAUUUGCAGUAGCACAUACAAAAUUCUUAUUCACACGUACCAAUACAUCUUAUUCUUAAUCUACCCAGUAUAAUCUGUAAUGUACUCAGACAAAAUAAGCCAUAUAGCAUGCAACACACAUACUGUGUACUCUACAUAUCCAAGGCCCUAUAGCAUAAAUACAAGCCCUCUGUCUUUCAUUGCGAUUAAGAGGAAUCAAGUAUGUGUGUGAAUGCGUGCGGAUAUCAGGAGAACCCUUCUUCCCUCCGGACAGACAAAUCGCUCCCUGAGUUUACUUGUGUCACACAACACACACACUGAUGCGUCUACCAUCCAAUCAUGUGACCAGACCAAGGGCUGAAAUCUGAUCUGUGUUCACACACUCCUUUCAGAACAAGGUCAGACACAAUACAAUUCACAAAGCACGGGAGGAGGAGGAGGAAGAGGAGGAGGAGAAAGGGAGGUUAUGGUGAAGGUGACUACAGAUGGUGUCUUGAUGCAUGGCAGGGAUAAUUCGGCCAGGAACGGAGUGCGACAGGAGUCCAUGUGGAGUGAGCAUGUAGAAAGAUCCGUUCCAAAACUUCUCUCAUGUUGCUGGUAUACUGGAUGACAAAUGGACAAGACAUAAUGGGUGGUAAAGGUGGUGGCGGCUCAGGUGAGACAUUGAAAUUGGGACAUUAUCAUGGGCCAUCCACUUCGAACUAUGAAGCUAUCUGAAGAAGACAAUGAAGAGACGCCAGAAGAUUGAGUGCCGGGGACGGAAGGGGUUGGUCAACUGUGCCCGUAAAUUAUUUUGAUUGUCUAAAAAUGUUUAUUUGGGUUAUCAAGUUGAUUGUAGAGGUCUAUACAAUGCUACAUUUACAGUAAUUUAGAUUAAGAAUGCAUUACGAUACACUUUGAAGUUUGUGGAAAUGUGAAAUUAAUGUAGGAGAAAAUAACUCAUUAGACCUGGUAAAAGAUAAUCAACAACAAAAAAUACAUGCAUUUUCACAUUUCUUGUGUGCCAUCAUUUUGAAAUGCAAGAGAAAGGCCAUUUAUAUGACUUAGGACUCAAGACGCAAUUUACAUUUUGGCCACUAGAUGGCAGCAGUGUAUGUGAAAAGUCUUAGACUGAUCCAAUGAACCAUUGCAUUACUGUUCAAAAUGUUGUCAAGUCUGCCCAAAUGUGCCGAAUUGGUCAAUUGAUACAUUUAAGUACAUAACUACAGAGAACAUACAAUUUGUAUUACCAUAUCAUUUUUGAAAGUUUACACACUCCCAGGAAUGUCAUAAAUGAUGGAUAAUUAACUUCCCUACAGAAAAGACACUAACCUCCACACAUCUAGAUGGGGGGGCAGACAGCAGGGGUUCAAAUUAUAGAAACCAGUUCCUACAUUUGAAUAUAAAAAUGGAUUUUUUUCCCCAAAAAAACUAUACUACAUCUUAUCUCUGGGACCCUCAGGAUGAAAAAUCAGAGCAAGAUUACUGAAUGUAACCUUCAGAGGUGAAUGUAUCAAACCAGUUGCCAUGACAAAAGUGUUUGUUGUUGUGCACUCUCCACAAACAAUAGCAUGGCAUUUCUUUCACUGUAAUAGCUACUGUAAAUUGGACAGUGCAGUUAGAUUAACAAGAAUGUAAGCUUUCUGCCCAUAUAAGACAUGUCUAUGUCCUGGGAAAUGUUCUUGUUACUUAAAACGUCAUGCUAAUCACAUUAGCGCACGUUAGCUCAACCGUCCCGGGGGGAGGACACUGGUCAUGUAGAGGUUAAAGUCUUUCUUUGCUUAUUUGAGCUGUUUUUGCCAUAAUAUGGACUUGGUCUUUUACCAAAUAGGGCUGUCUUCUGUAUACCACCCCUACCUUGUCACAACACAACUGAUUGGCUCAAAUGCAUUAAGAAGGAAAGAAAUUCCACAAAUUAACUUUAAGCAAGGCACACCUGUUAAUUGAAAUGCAUUCCAGGCGACUUCCUCAUGAAGCCGGUUGAGAGAAUGCCAAGAGUGUGCAAAGCUGUCAUCAAGGCAAAGGGUGGCUACUUUGAAAAAUCUAAAAUAUAUUUUGAUUUGUUUAAAACUUUUUGGGAACCUACAGAAUGUGUAAUUCCAUGUUGAUGUCUUCACCAUUAUUCUACAAUGUAGAAAAUAGUAAAAAUAAA
rnacentral:lncRNA from 1 species